rnacentral:rRNA from 1 species
CGCUAGCUACAGGCUUAACACAUGCAAGUCGAGGGGUAGCAGGGUAGCAAUACCGCUGACGACCGGCGCACGGGUGAGUAACACGUAUCCAACCUUCCCAUAACUCGGGGAUAGCCUUUCGAAAGAAAGAUUAAUACCCGAUAGUACUUUAUUAAGGCAUCUUAAGAAAGUUAAAGAUUUAUUGGUUAUGGAUGGGGAUGCGUUCCAUUAGAUAGUUGGUGAGGUAACGGCUCACCAAGUCUUCGAUGGAUAGGGGUUCUGAGAGGAAGGUCCCCCACAUUGGUACUGAGACACGGACCAAACUCCUACGGGAGGCAGCAGUGAGGAAUAUUGGUCAAUGGGCGAGAGCCUGAACCAGCCAAGUAGCGUGAAGGAUGACGG